CUUCACAUUUCCAUUCCAUUCAUCAGCUGGGAAACAAUUACAAGAACACAAGGCAGAUUGGUUUCUCUUCUCUGCCGGCUCAUCAGCUUCUUUCAGUUAAAACUCCAGUGUUAAUUUUGACUUUGAGAGGUAAAUAACACCAUGUCUUUUAGACUAACUAAUUAUUAAUUUUGAAUUUUCAUACAAUUUAUUUUUCCUGCAUCAUCCUCUGCUAAUGUUAUUAUACAAAGAUUUUGAUAUGCUUAUUGUCAUCCUUUCCUAGAGUCAAGAUCUAAAUGCUAUAAUAUUAUCUUCUUGAGUUUUAUAUAUUAUAUUAUAUAGUAGAAAAUAAGUUUUCAGAAAAAAAAAAAAGAAUUUUCAGAAAUUGAGUGCUAAUUAAGUGGAAGUAAUAAUAUAUGAACAGUCAGGUAUUUCACUUCCAUAUACUUGUACAAAUGUUUCUUUGACGAGGUUUACAACAGAUAUACCAAAAAAUUCCUGGAAAGAAUUAGAAAAAUAAACAUUAAAUAUGAUUAAUUUCACGUAGAAAAUGUAAUUUACCAAAUAACCAAGCAAAAAAGUUGACGUAGCCGUAACUCUAACAAUAAUUUUUUUUCGAGUGAAAAUAAUAUAUCGAAUUAUUAUAAUCCAAUCCACGUUGUCAAUCAAAUUAUCUAGAAUAGGAUUGUAUGGAGUGUGUGGGAAAUUUCAUAGGAUUCACAAGCGUAUACAUAAUUUGUUUUUUUUUUCCCUGUUGAAAAAUGCAAUUUACAUUUCCUUAACAUCUCGCCAUUGAAGAUUUUUUCGUCCAGUUUAGAGAUCUAAAUUACAAUUUAAAUCUAUUUUAUAUCACGAUUGGAGAUGCUCUUAUAACUCUUUUCUAUAGUUGGAGUUUCACCCAUAAUAUCAAUCUUCUAGCUAAUUUAUGCUUAUGGUGGCAUUAUUCUUCCACAUCGUCUUGGCCGAGUUUGUAUUUUGCCUUCAUUUUUCUGUGUAUAAACAAUCAGUAUAAAUUAAAUUAGAUGAAGACCAUAUUCAUGAUGAGAUGAUCAACAUGCAGGAAUGACAAUUAUACGAUAAAUAGUUCAUAUUGUUUAAACCAUUUUUAAUUAAUUGUUGUAUCGAUUUUUAAGUUUCAUCCUAUUAAGAUCAAACUCAGGGUCAACCUGCUCCA
rnacentral:lncRNA from 1 species